rnacentral:rRNA from 1 species
ACGGGUGAGUAACGCGUGGGAACGUACCUUUUGGUUCGGAACAACUGAGGGAAACUUCAGCUAAUACCGGAUAAGCCCUUACGGGGAAAGAUUUAUCGCCGAAAGAUCGGCCCGCGUCUGAUUAGCUAGUUGGUGAGGUAAUGGCUCACCAAGGCGACGAUCAGUAGCUGGUCUGAGAGGAUGAUCAGCCACAUUGGGACUGAGACACGGCCCAAACUCCUACGGGAGGCAGCAGUGGGGAAUAUUGGACAAUGGGCGAAAGCCUGAUCCAGCCAUGCCGCGUGUGUGAUGAAGGCCCUAGGGUUGUAAAGCUCUUUUGUGCGGGAAGAUAAUGACGGUACCGCAAGAAUAAGCCCCGGCUAACUUCGUGCCAGCAGCCGCGGUAAUACGAAGGGGGCUAGCGUUGCUCGGAAUCACUGGGCGUAAAGGGUGCGUAGGCGGGUUCUUAAGUCAGAGGUGAAAUCCUGGAGCUCAACUCCAGAACUGCCUUUGAUACUGAGAGUCUUGAGUAUGACAGAGGUGAGUGGAACUGCGAGUGUAGAGGUGAAAUUCGUAGA